UGAAAGCAUCUAAGCACGAAACUUGCCCCGAGAUGAGUUCUCCCUGACUCCUUGAGAGUCCUGAAGGAACGUUGAAGACGACGACGUUGAUAGGCCGGGUGUGUAAGCGCAGCGAUGCGUUGAGCUAACCGGUACUAAUGAACCGUGAGGCUUAACCUUACAACGCCGAAG
rnacentral:rRNA from 3 species